UAUCUCUGUAGAGUCUGCAUAUCAAUAAGCGGAGGAAAAGAAACUAACUAAGGAUUCCCUCAGUAACGGCGAGUGAAGCGGGAAGAGCUCAAAUUUGAAAUCUUCAAGGUUCUACCUUGACGAAUUGUAGUUUAAAGAAGUGUUUUCUGUUGAAGUUUCGGUAAAAGUUCUUUGGAAUAGGACAUCAUAGAGGGUGAGAAUCCCGUAUUUGACCAGUUAUUUUCCAGCUGUGUGAUACACUUUCAAAGAGUCGGAUUGUUUGGGAAUGCAGUCCAAAAUGGGUGGUAAAUUUCAUCUAAAGCUAAAUAUUGGCGAGAGACCGAUAGCGAACAAGUACCGUGAGGGAAAGAUGAAAAGAACUUUGAAAAGAGAGUUAAACAGUACGUGAAAUUGUCAAAAGGGAAGCGUUUGACACCAGUGUUGUUUUCUCGAAAAUCAAUUAAAAAUGGCAUGAUUUUGUGUUGUAUUGACCUUUAUAAGCUUUCUUCACUCUUUUUCAUUGUCUUUUUUAAUGCACUUUUCGUUUAACAAGUCAACAUCAGAUUUCUUUUGUUGUAAAAGGGUCAUUGGAAGGUGGCUUUCUUUUCGGAGAAAGUGUUUAUAGCCUUUGCCUCUGCAAUCGAGAGAGAUUGAGGUCUGCAACGUAGAUCCUUCUGGAUUAGAUACAUUUGUGCUAAGUUAUAACCGUUUCAUAGACAACUUGUUGACUAUGAUCGAUCAUGUAGCUUACUCGCUUAUGCUAAUUUUACCUACGCUUAGGAUGUUGACGAUCAGCUGAGCGCG
rnacentral:rRNA from 1 species